rnacentral:rRNA from 1 species
UACGAAGGGGGCUAGCGUUGCUCGGAAUGACUGGGCGUAAAGGGCGCGUAGGCGGACUGCACAGUCAGGCGUGAAAUUCCUGGGCUCAACCUGGGGGCUGCGUUUGAUACGUAUGAGCUUGAGUUCGGAAGAGGGUCGUGGAAUUCCCAGUGUAGAGGUGAAAUUCGUAGAUAUUGGGAAGAACACCGGUGGCGAAGGCGGCGACCUGGUCCGAUACUGACGCUGAGGCGCGAAAGCGUGGGGAGCAAACAGG